rnacentral:rRNA from 1 species
GAUGGGAGCUUGCACCCUGAUGUUAGCGGCGGACGGGUGAGUAACACGUGGGUAACCUGCCUGUAAGACUGGGAUAACUCCGGGAAACCGGGGCUAAUACCGGAUGCUUGUUUGAACCGCAUGGUUCAGACAUAAAAGGUGGCUUCGGCUACCACUUACAGAUGGACCCGCGGCGCAUUAGCUAGUUGGUGAGGUAACGGCUCACCAAGGCGACGAUGCGUAGCCGACCUGAGAGGGUGAUCGGCCACACUGGGACUGAGACACGGCCCAGACUCCUACGGGAGGCAGCAGUAGGGAAUCUUCCGCAAUGGACGAAAGUCUGACGGAGCAACGCCGCGUGAGUGAUGAAGGUUUUCGGAUCGUAAAGCUCUGUUGUUAGGGAAGAACAAGUGCCGUUCAAAUAGGGCGGCACCUUGACGGUACCUAACCAGAAAGCCACGGCUAACUACGUGCCAGCAGCCGCGGUAAUACGUAGGUGGCAAGCGUUGUCCGGAAUUAUUGGGCGUAAAGGGCUCGCAGGCGGUUUCUUAAGUCUGAUGUGAAAGCCCCCGGCUCAACCGGGGAGGGUCAUUGGAAACUGGGGAACUUGAGUGCAGAAGAGGAGAGUGGAAUUCCACGUGUAGCGGUGAAAUGCGUAGAGAUGUGGAGGAACACCAGUGGCGAAGGCGACUCUCUGGUCUGUAACUGACGCUGAGGAGCGAAAGCGUGGGGAGCGAACAGGAUUAGAUACCCUGGUAGUCCACGCCGUAAACGAUGAGUGCUAAGUGUUAGGGGGUUUCCGCCCCUUAGUGCUGCAGCUAACGCAUUAAGCACUCCGCCUGGGGAGUACGGUCGCAAGACUGAAACUCAAAGGAAUUGACGGGGGCCCGCACAAGCGGUGGAGCAUGUGGUUUAAUUCGAAGC